rnacentral:rRNA from 1 species
UACGGAGGGGGCUAGCGUUGUUCGGAAUUACUGGGCGUAAAGCGUGCGCAGGCGGUUUUGUAAGUUUGUCGUGAAAGCCCCGGGCUUAACCUGGGAAUGGCAUUGGUGACUGCACGGCUAGAGUGUGUCAGAGGGGGGUAGAAUUCCACGUGUAGCAGUGAAAUGCGUAGAGAUGUGGAGGAAUACCGAUGGCGAAGGCAGCCCCCUGGGAUAACACUGACGCUCAUGCACGAAAGCGUGGGGAGCAAACAGG